AUUGAACGCUGGCGGCAGGCCUAACACAUGCAAGUCGAGCGGAGCGGCGUACGGGUGUGUAAUGCCUAGGAAUCUGCCUGGCAGUGGGGGAUACCGUCCGUAAACGGGCGCUAAUCCCGUAUACUAUCUGCUGAGCCUAGGUCGGAUUGGCUAGUUGGUUGGGUAAAGGCCUACCAAGGCGACGAUCCGUAACUGGUCUGAUAGGAUGAUCAGUCACACUGGAACUGAGACACGGUCCAGAAUCCUACGGGAGGAAGCAGUGGGAAAUAGUGGACAAUGGGCGAAAGCCUGAUCCAGCCAUGCCGCGUGUGUGAAGAAGGUCUUCGGAUUGAAAAGCAGUUUAAGUUGGGAGGCGUUACCAACAGAAUAAGCACCGGCUAACUUCGUGCCAGCCGCCGCGGUAAUAC
rnacentral:rRNA from 1 species